rnacentral:lncRNA from 1 species
GGGGACCCCCUAUGGAUUCCCAUGGAUACUAGUAGGCUGGUAAAAGAGGAAAUUUGUUGUCUGAUUACUGAAGUGCAAAAGUAUGACAUGUGCUAUGUUACAAGUGUAUAUGAUUUUAUGAUGGUUAUAAUGCUAUUGUUUUCAUAUCUUAUUUUCACAAAUCUCACCGAGGUAAGUAGACAGUAAAGGUUUUUAUUAUUAAUAAAUGAGUUUGUCAUAAAUUAUGCUCCAUUGGUCGUUUUUGUUUUCUACCAACCUUUACUUCUAUGACAGUGAGAUAGUGUGAUGUCUUUACUAGGCUAGUGU